CCGACGCGGACGGCCCGCGAGGCCGCCCUCGCGCGGCUCUGUCCGUGUGGCGUAUGGGAGCGUAGCACACGCCGUGACGCGCAGUCCCGUUCCACGACGUUGGACAGCAAGCUUGUCCCCGGCCCUCAGGGCUGGUGAGGACAGCGUCCUGUAUAUUCCUACACCUUCCCAGAGCCUUGGGGCCGUGACUGGGGAGGAAAACCAUGCAGAGCACAAAU